rnacentral:tRNA from 1 species
ACCUGGCUGGCUCAGUUAGUGGAGCGUGUGACUCUUGAUCUCAAGGCUGUGAAUUCGAGCCCCACGUUGGGUG